CGGAGCUUGGCAUCUUUCACUGCCAGCUCACCACGCUCCUCAGCCUCGGCGAUCUGAGCCUCAAGGUUGGCUCUCUGUUGAAAUUAAUAUCAGCAUUGUAUUCUCCGAACCACUUCAUACAAUGAAGCUUUAGUCAUUUGUUGUCAUUCAUUUACCUGUGACUUGACAGCCUCGAUCUCAUUCUGAAGACGGGCAAUCAUGCGGUUCAACUCAGCAAUCUCAGUUUUAGUUGUGCGCAGGUCAUCGCCGUAUUGUCCAGCAGAGCUCUGCAUCUCCUCAUACUGUUUUGAAAAACAUGACAGAUUGCGUUAACCUCAUGAUCCUAAAGGUCUGGUUGGAUUUUUCAAGUUUAUGCUGAUGACAUAAAGCAUGGUUGUCUUUAUUGUUUCACUCACCUUCUGUUUGUACCAGGUCUCUGCCUCAGCCCUGCUCUUGUUGGCGAUGUCUUCAUACUGAGCGCGCACCUCAGCCACGAUGGAAUCCAUGUCCAGGUUACGGCUGUUGUCCAUCUCCACAAUGACAGAGGUGUCCUUAAUCUGGCCUUGCAGCUCACGGAGUUCCUACAGAACAAACAAUUGUUGCACCAUUAAACCCAUUUUAUUGACAAGUUGUAUUAUAGUGUUAAACAGUG